CUACUACUCCCUCCGUCCAAAAAAGCUUGUCUCUUAAAUGAAUGUAUCUAGCAUCAAGUUAGUACUAGAUAUAUCCAUUUAAGGAACAAACUUGAGACAAGCUUUUUCGGAUGGAGGGAGUACUAU
rfam:Triticum aestivum genome assembly, contig: Triticum_aestivum_CS42_TGACv1_scaffold_603235_7DL